GACGAACGCUGGCGGCGUGCCUAAUACAUGCAAGUAGAACGCUGAAGAGAGGAGCUUGCUCUUCUUGGAUGAGUUGCGAACGGGUGAGUAACGCGUAGGUAACCUGCCUUGUAGCGGGGGAUAACUAUUGGAAACGAUAGCUAAUACCGCAUAACAAUGGAUGACACAUGUCAUUUAUUUGAAAGGGGCAAUUGCUCCACUACAAGAUGGACCUGCGUUGUAUUAGCUAGUAGGUGAGGUAACGGCUCACCUAGGCGACGAUACAUAGCCGACCUGAGAGGGUGAUCGGCCACACUGGGACUGAGACACGGCCCAGACUCCUACGGGAGGCAGCAGUAGGGAAUCUUCGGCAAUGGGGGCAACCCUGACCGAGCAACGCCGCGUGAGUGAAGAAGGUUUUCGGAUCGUAAAGCUCUGUUGUAAGUCAAGAACGAGUGUGAGAGUGGAAAGUUCACACUGUGACGGUAGCUUACCAGAAAGGGACGGCUAACUACGUGCCAGCAGCCGCGGUAAUACGUAGGUCCCGAGCGUUGUCCGGAUUUAUUGGGCGUAAAGCGAGCGCAGGCGGUUUGAUAAGUCUGAAGUUAAAGGCUGUGGCUCAACCAUAGUUCGCUUUGGAAACUGUCAAACAUGAGUGCAGAAGGGGAGAGUGGAAUUCCAUGUGUAGCGGUGAAAUGCGUAGAUAUAUGGAGGAACACCGGUGGCGAAAGCGGCUCUCUGGUCUGUAACUGACGCUGAGGCUCGAAAGCGUGGGGAGCGAACAGGAUUAGAUACCCUGGUAGUCCACGCCGUAAACGAUGAGUGCUAGGUGUUGGAUCCUUUCCGGGAUUCAGUGCCGCAGCUAACGCAUUAAGCACUCCGCCUGGGGAGUACGACCGCAAGGUUGAAACUCAAAGGAAUUGACGGGGGCCCGCACAAGCGGUGGAGCAUGUGGUUUAAUUCGAAGCAACGCGAAGAACCUUACCAGGUCUUGACAUCCCGAUGCUAUUUCUAGAGAUAGAAAGUUACUUCGGUACAUCGGUGACAGGUGGUGCAUGGUUGUCGUCAGCUCGUGUCGUGAGAUGUUGGGUUAAGUCCCGCAACGAGCGCAACCCCUAUUGUUAGUUGCCAUCAUUCAGUUGGGCACUCUAGCGAGACUGCCGGUAAUAAACCGGAGGAAGGUGGGGAUGACGUCAAAUCAUCAUGCCCCUUAUGACCUGGGCUACACACGUGCUACAAUGGUUGGUACAACGAGUUGCGAGUCGGUGACGGCAAGCUAAUCUCUUAAAGCCAAUCUCAGUUCGGAUUGUAGGCUGCAACUCGCCUACAUGAAGUCGGAAUCGCUAGUAAUCGCGGAUCAGCACGCCGCGGUGAAUACGUUCCCGGGCCU
rnacentral:rRNA from 1 species